rnacentral:rRNA from 1 species
GACAGAGGGUGCGAACGUUGCUCGGAAUUACUGGGCGUAAAGCGCGUGUAGGCGGACGAUCAAGUCAGAUGUGAAAUCCCUGGGCUCAACCCAGGAACUGCAUUUGAAACUGGUCGCCUUGAGUGUUGGAGAGGGAUGCGGAAUUCCAGGUGUAGCGGUGAAAUGCGUAGAUAUCUGGAGGAACACCGGUGGCGAAGGCGGCAUCCUGGACCAACACUGACACUGAUGAGCGAAAGCCAGGGGAGCAAACGGG